rnacentral:rRNA from 1 species
AACGAACGCUGGCGGCAUGCCUAACACAUGCAAGUCGAACGAGACCUUCGGGUCUAGUGGCGCACGGGUGCGUAACGCGUGGGAACCUGCCCUUAGGUUCGGAAUAACUCCCCGAAAGGGGUGCUAAUACCGGAUAAUGUCUUCGGACCAAAGAUUUAUCGCCUUUGGAUGGGCCCGCGUUGGAUUAGCUAGUUGGUAGGGUAAAAGCCUACCAAGGCGACGAUCCAUAGCUGGUCUGAGAGGAUGAUCAGCCACACUGGGACUGAGACACGGCCCAGACUCCUACGGGUGGCAGCAGUGGGAAAUAUUGGAAAAUGGGCGAAAGCCUGAUCCAGCAAUGCCGCGUGAGUGAUGAAGGCCUUAGGGUUGUAAAGCUCUUUUAACCGGGAUGAUAAUGACAGUACCGGGAGAAUACGCUCCGGCUAACUCCGUG